CUUGUCUCGGAGGACAUUACUGAGGUUCCGGGGGUGAGUUGCGAGUGGCUGGUCUGCUGGCGUCUUUUCGGACGCAUGUGCACGGCUCUCCUUCUCAUCUUCGUUCCUUCUAUCAACCCCUGUGCACUACAAUAGGAUUAGAGCGAAGCGCGUCGUUAAGGGAUUAACCUAGUAUCCGUGGGUCCACCCCGCGGCGAAAGGUUAAUCUGUGAUCGGCGGCGGCGUGGUACCUCGAAGUCCUUGUUUCAAACCAAACCACUAUAUGCGUCUUGUCAGAAUGUUCAGCCCCUUCGUUUGGGCGCUAAAUAAAAUACAACUUUCAACAACGGAUCUCUUGGCUCUCGCAUCGAUGAAGAACGCAGCGAAAUGCGAUAAGUAAUGUGAAUUGCAGAAUUCAGUGAAUCAUCGAAUCUUUGAACGCACCUUGCGCCCUUUGGUAUUCCGAAGGGCACGCCUGUUUGAGUGUCAUGUUCAUCUCAGUUCAACAGCUUUUGCGGCUGGCAUGAACUGGAUUUGGGAGUCUGCUGGCCCCUUCUGCGGGUCGGCUCUCCUUGAAUGCAUGAGUGAGCAUCUGGCUCGCGUCGCUGGUGUGAUAGUUUUUCAUCAUUGGCGGCGCCUGUCUAAUGGGCUUGCUAUCGAACCGUCUUCUCAACGGAGACAUAUCAAUCUUUAUUGACACAUUUGACCUCAAAUCAGGUGGGACUACCCGCUGAACUUAAGCAUAUCAAAAAGCCGAAGGAAG
rnacentral:rRNA from 1 species